rnacentral:rRNA from 1 species
AAUUUGAAAUCUGGCCCUUUCGGGGUCCGAGUUGUAAUUUGUAGAGAGUGCUUCGGGUGAGACUGCGGUCUAAGUCCAUUGGAACAUGGCGUCCCAGAGGGUGAGAAUCCCGUAUGUGACCGCGGCUCGAGCCCAUGUGAAGCCUCUUCGACGAGUCGAGUUGUUUGGGAAUGCAGCUCUAAAUGGGUGGUAAAUUUCAUCUAAAGCUAAAUACUGGCUGGAGACCGAUAGCGCACAAGUAGAGUGAUCGAAAGAUGAAAAGCACUUUGGAAAGAGGGUUAAACAGUACGUGAAAUUGUUGAAAGGGAAGCGCUGGCAACCAGACCUGUCCGUAGGCGAUCACCCGUUGUUCUCAGCGGUGCACUCGUUCUGCGAUCAGGCCAGCAUCGGUUCGGGCGGGCGGAUAAAGGUCUUGGGAAUGUAGCUCCCUCUCGGGGGAGUCUUAUAGCCCUCGAUGCAAUGCGCCCAGCCGGGACCGAGGACCGCGCUUCGGCUAGGAUGCUGGCGUAAUGGUUGUCAGCGACCC